CACUCUUAAAUACCAACAUCAAAAAUUAUAUGCUAACACUAACAACAAAAGCUCUAUCGCAGGAUUGAACUACG
rnacentral:sRNA from 14 species